AUUCUAUUCCCUCUGUCUCAUAUUAAGUGUCGAAAUAUUACAUGUAUCUAGACGCAUUUUAUAUAUGAAUACAUCCAUAUUUAGACAAAUUUGAGUCACUUAAUAUGGGACGGAGGGAGUAGAUU
rnacentral:pre_miRNA from 1 species